rnacentral:rRNA from 1 species
UUGCCAGCCGCCGCGGUAAUACCGGCAGCCCGAGUGAUGGCCGAUCUUACUGGGCCUAAAGCGUCCGUAGCUGGCUGCGCAAGUCCGUCGGGAAAUCCACUCGCCCAACGAGUGGGCGUCCGACGGAAACUGCACAGCUUGGGACCGGGAGGCCUGAGGGGUACGAUCGGGGUAGGAGUGAAAUCCUAUAAUCCCGCACGGACCACCGAUGGCGAAAGCACUUCGAGAAAACGGAUCCGGCAGUGAGGGACGAAAGCCAGGGUCUCCAACCGGAUUAGAUACCCCAGUAGUCC